rnacentral:rRNA from 1 species
UAUGGUUGUGUGCCAGCCGCCGCGGUAAUACGUAGGUCCCGAGCGUUGUCCGGAUUUAUUGGGCGUAAAGCGAGCGCAGGCGGUUUGAUAAGUCUGAAGUUAAAGGCUGUGGCUCAACCAUAGUUCGCUUUGGAAACUGUCAAACUUGAGUGCAGAAGGGGAGAGUGGAAUUCCAUGUGUAGCGGUGAAAUGCGUAGAUAUAUGGAGGAACACCGGUGGCGAAAGCGGCUCUCUGGUCUGUAACUGACGCUGAGGCUCGAAAGCGUGGGGAGCGAACAGG